AUACUCUGGUUUCUCUUCAGAUCACAUAAAUCUUUCACCUUUUACUAAAGAUAUCCGUGGAGAGGAACACCAUUUUUUGAAGGACAUGGAACUGUUGGAGCGGGUCCAGAGGAGACUAC
rnacentral:snRNA from 1 species